rnacentral:lncRNA from 1 species
CUCCCUUUGAAAGAGCUAUCAUAUCAUCUCUCUUCGAGUGACUUCCAAUCUGUCCAUUUCACGGCGAAGAGGAAGGUACUGGUUUAUUUCAAGAUGACUUUAAAGGAAAAUUACCGUGCAAAUGCUAGAAGUUUAAUGACUGCAAGACCAAGUCCUAAUUCAGACUCUUCGAUCAUUCUACUACUCUGAUGUCUAUGGAUUUGACACAAAUCAUCAGUCAAGGCUGUAAAUUCAGACAUGCCUAUUGACCUGUGACUGAAAAAGUAUUUAGUGUUUACAUCAUUUGUUUUCAUCCGGAAGAUCUAAAACUCUCAAAUGAUGGGAAAUCCCACUUGUAAGUUGUUACCUACCUCCUCUCAGCAGUUUUUAGCAUUGCCUGCAUCCGUUCUUCUAUUGUUGCUUUAAUUAAGAAUCUAUGUACAAUAGUAGGUCUAGAAGGCAAAUAAUAAUUUUAAGUUUAAAGACCAUCUUAA